rnacentral:rRNA from 1 species
ACAGGUACGGGCUCUGAGAGGAGUAGCCCGGAGAUGGGUACUGAGACACGGACCCAGGCCCUAUGGGGCGCAGCAGGCGAGAAAACUUUGCAAUGUGCGAAAGCACGACAAGGUUAAUCCGAGUGAUUUGUGCUAAACGAAUCUUUUGUUAGUCCUAGAAACACUAACGAAUAAGGGGUGGGCAAGUUCUGGUGUCAGCCGCCGCGGUAAAACCAGCACCUCAAGUGGUCAGGAUGAUUAUUGGGCCUAAAGCAUCCGUAGCCGGCUCUGUAAGUUUUCGGUUAAAUCUGUACGCUUAACGUACAGGCUGCCGGGAAUACUGCAGAGCUAGGGAGUGGGAGAGGUAGACGGUACUCGGUAGGAAGUGGUAAAAUGCUUUGAUCUAUCGAUGACCACCUGUGGCGAAGGCGGUCUACCAGAACACGUCCGACGGUGAGGGAUGAAAGCUGGGGGAGCAAACCGGAUUAGAUACCCGGGUAGUCCCAGCUGUAAACUAUGCAAACUCAGUGAUGCAUUGGCUUGUGGCCAAUGCAGUGCUGCAGGGAAGCCGUUAAGUUUGCCGCCUGGGAAGUACGUACGCAAGUAUGAAACUUAUAGGAAUUGGCGGGGGGGCACCACAAGGGGUGAAGCCUGCGGUUCAAUUGGAUUCAACGCCGGAAA